AACGAACGCUGGCGGCAGGCUUAACACAUGCAAGUCGAGCGCGCCCUUCGGGGUGAGCGGCGAACGGGUGAGUAACGCGUGGGAACGUGCCCCUUUCUUCGGAAUAGCCUCGGGAAACUGGAGUAAUGCCGAAUACGCCCCGCAGGGGGGAAAGAUUUAUCGGAGAGGGAUCGGCCCGCGUUGGAUUAGGUAGUUGGUGGGGUAAUGGCCUACCAAGCCGACGAUCCAUAGCUGGUUUGAGAGGAUGAUCAGCCACACUGGGACUGAGACACGGCCCAGACUCCUACGGGAGGCAGCAGUGGGGAAUCUUGGACAAUGGGGGCAACCCUGGUCCAGCCAUGCCGCGUGAUCGAUGAAGGCCUUAGGGUUGUAAAGAUCUUUCAGCUGGGAAGAUAAUGACGGUACCAGCAGAAGAAGCCCCGGCUAACUCCGUGCCAGCCGCCGCAGUAAUAC
rnacentral:rRNA from 1 species